rnacentral:rRNA from 1 species
CCCUUAGAUGUUCUGGGCUGCACGCGUGCUACACUGAUAUUGCCGAUAUGUCAUUCUUAUCCGAAAUGGAUUGGGUAAUCAAGUAAUGAAAUUUCAUGCUUGGAAUCGGUAAUUGCAAUUUUAUCGUGAACGAGGAAUUCCUAGUAAGCACUAGUCAUCAGCUAAUGUUGAUUAUGUCCCUGCCCUUUGUACACACCGCCCGUCGCUACUACUGAUUGGGUGUUCAAGUGAGAUGCUUAGACCCUUGUUGCAUGGUUCAUUAUUGUGCUCCGAAAGGAAAAAGUUUCAAGCUUGAGUGUCUAGAGGAAGUAAAAGUCGUAACA